rnacentral:lncRNA from 1 species
UGCUUGUGUAUUUAAAUGGGUGUGGUGCUAAGUAUAUCUUGUUUACCUUAUCUGUGGAAAAGUUUUGAAGUCUGGUUAGGUUUGUCACAUCAUGCCUGUUGCCUAGCACUACGAAAAGUGUUCUUACCUAGCAGAAAAGAUUGGAUAGGUGGAGGUCGUGACUUGGC